CAGUCGCCGCGGGAAUACGUAGGGUGCAAGCGUUAAUCGGAAUUACUGGGCGUAAAGCGUGCGCAGGCGGUUAUAUAAGACAGAUGUGAAAUCCCCGGGCUCAACCUGGGAACUGCAUUUGUGACUGCAAGGCUAGAGUACGGCAGAGGGGGAUGGAAUUCCGCGUGUAGCAGUGAAAUGCGUAGAUAUGCGGAGGAACACCGAUGGCGAAGGCAAUCCCCUGGGCCUGUACUGACGCUCAUGCACGAAAGCGUGGGGAGCAAACAGGAUUAGAUACCCGUGUAGUCCCUGUCUCUUAUAC
rnacentral:rRNA from 1 species